rnacentral:lncRNA from 1 species
AAAAAUCGCUGGGUCUGUUGAGCUGUCCUGGGCUGGGUGCCUUGCUCUUUGACUGAGACUGGAGACAGACGGCAACAGCCACAGGCAGACUGAGGUGGCAAUAGGAAAUCUGCCGAGAUGUUCAGUCAGGUGCCCAGGACCCCAGCCUCAGGCUGCUACUACCUAAAUUCCAUGACACCUGAGGGCCAGGAGAUGUACUUGCGAUUUGAUCAGACUACAAGACGCUCUCCUUACAGGAUGAGCCGGAUUCUAGCACGCCAUCAGCUAGUGACUAAAAUUCAACAAGAAAUUGAGGCAAAAGAAGCAUGUGACUGGCUCCGUGCUGCCGGGUUCCCGCAAUACGCUCAGUUAUAUGAGGAUUCACAAUUUCCCAUCAACAUUGUGGCUGUCAAGAAUGAUCAUGAUUUUCUUGAAAAGGACCUUGUAGAACCUCUUUGCAGACGACUAAAUACGUUGAACAAGUGUGCCUCAAUGAAACUUGAUGUGAACUUCCAAAGGAAAAAGAAGAGAAAAGGGACCCUUUAAGGAUUCGAGAUGACCUUCCCUGCCUCUGUAAGAGUCAGGUGGAGGAGUAUUCUCGAGCUUAGCUGCACGCCUCACUGGAAGACUAACAACCCAGCCAAGAGCAUUUCAGGAGACAGGACACCAGCACUUCUGCCGCCUGCAGCUCGGGCUCUCCACUCCCGCGGCAUUCCCAGCGGCCCAUUCCUGCUUCCAAACAGGCAGGCCCGGCCACGUAGCUCCAGUUAACGUCUAAAUUUCUAUGUGACUAUGGAUGCGUUGCCUUUUGCAGCUGUGGAUUCGUGUGGGUUCCUGUUUCCAGUGUAAAGAUAUGGCCAAAUUCCGUCUUUUGAAAAAAGCCCUUCUUUAUGGAAUGUCUGGUUGGCAUCUGUCUCUGAGGAAUAUAUAAUUUCAGUGAAGAAUGUUCUCAUUUUUAGA